UGAGUAACACGUAAGCAACUUGCCUAUUAGAGGGGAAUAACAGUGAGAAAUCAUUGCUAAUACCGCAUAUGCCAUAAACACCACAUGGUGAAAGUGGGAAAGGAGAAAUCCGCUAAUAGAUGGGCUUGCGUCUGAUUAGAUAGUUGGUGGGGUAACGGCCUACCAAGUCGACGAUCAGUAGCCGAACUGAGAGGUUGAACGGCCACAUUGGGACUGAGAUACGGCCCAGACUCCUACGGGAGGCAGCAG
rnacentral:rRNA from 1 species